rnacentral:rRNA from 1 species
GAAAGCUAUUUAGGUAGCGCCUCGUGAAUUCAUCUCCGGGGGUAGAGCACUGUUUCGGCAAGGGGGUCAUCCCGACUUACCAACCCGAUGCAAACUGCGAAUACCGGAGAAUGUUAUCACGGGAGACACACGGCGGGUGCUAACGUCCGUCGUGAAGAGGGAAACAACCCAGACCGCCAGCUAAGGUCCCAAAGUCAUGGUUAAGUGGGAAACGAUGUGGGAAGGCCCAGACAGCCAGGAUGUUGGCUUAGAAGCAGCCAUCAUUUAAAGAAAGCGUAAUAGCUCACUGGUCGAGUCGGCCUGCGCGGAAGAUGUAACGGGGCUAAACCAUGCACCGAAGCUGCGGCAGCGACACUAUGUGUUGUUGGGUAGGGGAGCGUUCUGUAAGCCUGUGAAGGUGUGCUGUGAGGCAUGCUGGAGGUAUCAGAAGUGCGAAUGCUGACAUAAGUAACGAUAAAGCGGGUGAAAAGCCCGCUCGCCGGAAGACCAAGGGUUCCUGUCCAACGUUAAUCGGGGCAGGGUGAGUCGACCCCUAAGGCGAGGCCGAAAGGCGUAGUCGAUGGGAAACAGGUUAAUAUUCCUGUACUUGGUGUUACUGCGAAGGGGGGACGGAGAAGGCUAUGUUGGCCGGGCGACGGUUGUCCCGGUUUAAGCGUGUAGGCUGGUUUUCCAGGCAAAUCCGGAAAAUCAAGGCUGAGGCGUGAUGACGAGGCACUACGGUGCUGAAGCAACAAAUGCCCUGCUUCCAGGAAAAGCCUCUAAGCAUCAGGUAACAUCAAAUCGUACCCCAAACCGACACAGGUGGUCAGGUAGAGAAUACCAAGGCGCUUGAGAGAACUCGGGUGAAGGAACUAGGCAAAAUGGUGCCGUAACUUCGGGAGAAGGCACGCUGAUAUGUAGGUGAAGUCCCUCGCGGAUGGAGCUGAAAUCAGUCGAAGAUACCAGCUGGCUGCAACUGUUUAUUAAAAACACAGCACUGUGCAAACACGAAAGUGGACGUAUACGGUGUGACGCCUGCCCGGUGCCGGAAGGUUAAUUGAUGGGGUCAGCGCAAGCGAAGCUCUUGAUCGAAGCCCCGGUAAACGGCGGCCGUAACUAUAACGGUCCUAAGGUAGCGAAAUUCCUUGUCGGGUAAGUUCCGACCUGCACGAAUGGCGUAAUGAUGGCCAGGCUGUCUCCACCCGAGACUCAGUGAAAUUGAACUCGCUGUGAAGAUGCAGUGUACCCGCGGCAAGACGGAAAGACCCCGUGAACCUUUACUAUAGCUUGACACUGAACAUUGAGCCUUGAUG